rnacentral:rRNA from 1 species
GAUGAACGCUGGCGGCGUGCCUAAUACAUGCAAGUCGAGCGAACGGACGAGAAGCUUGCUGCUCUGAUGUUAGCGGCGGACGGGUGAGUAACACGUGUAUAACCUACCUAUAUGACUGGUAUAACUUCGGGAAACCGGAGCUAAUACCGGAUAAUAUUUUGAACCGCAUGGUUCAAAAGUGAAAGACGGUCUUGCUGUCACUUAUAGAUGGAUCCUCGCUGCAUUAGCUAGUUGGUAAGGUAACGGGUUAUCAAGGCAACGAUGCGUAGCCGACCUGAGAGAGUGAUCGGCGACAUGGUAAGGUAGACGGGGACCAGAGGACUGAGGGAGGGAGCAGAAGGGUAUCUGCCGCAGUGGGCGAAAGCCUUACGGAGUAACGGGGCGCGAGAGAUGACGGUGUUGGGAUCGUAAAACUCUGUUAUUGGUGAAGAACAUAUGUGUAAGUAACUGUGCAGUGCGUGACGGUACCUAAUCAGAAAGCCACGGCUAACUACGUG